CCAGUGGGGCAAGGGCAACCAGAUAACUCUGGUGGAAAGGAACACUGCAUGGAGAUCUACGAGCUAGGAGACAUGAAUGAUGCACCAUGCACCACAAGGAGUUACUCCAUCUGUCCCAAAGACGCUAACUCCUCUUUCCUCUUCCUGAGAAAUCCAACAUGACCAUGUGACCUUCUCACUGGUGAUGUCACUUCCUCCAGGAUGUCAGGCCUCGAUGGCGUCGCUGCUGGAAGAUACAAGGAUAAAAUCUUUUUUCAAAUAAAUCUGUUGCAUCAAUAAA